AUUGAACGCUGGCGGCAGGCCUAACACAUGCAAGUCGAACGGUAACAGGAAGAAGCUUGCUUCUUUGCUGACGAGUGGCGGACGGGUGAGUAAUGUCUGGGAAACUGCCUGAUGGAGGGGGAUAACUACUGGAAACGGUAGCUAAUACCGCAUAACGUCGCAAGACCAAAGAGGGGGACCUUCGGGCCUCUUGCCAUCGGAUGUGCCCAGGUGGGAUUCGCUAGUAGGUGGGGUAACGGCUCACCUAGGCGACGAUCCCUAGCUGGUCUGAGAGGAUGACCAGCCACACUGGAACUGAGACACGGUCCAGACUCCUACGGGAGGCAGCAGUGGGGAAUAUUGCACAAUGGGCGCAAGCCUGAUGCAGCCAUGCCGCGUGUAUGAAGAAGGCCUUCGGGUUGUAAAGUACUUUCAGCGGGGAGGAAGGGAGUAAAGUUAAUACCUUUGCUCAUUGACGUUACCCGCAGAAGAAGCACCGGCUAACUCCGUG
rnacentral:rRNA from 1 species